UGUGAACACGCGCUUUGGAGCCGCCACAGUCUCAUCUCACACCUCUACAGCGAAAGCUCCUCCUCAGAAGAGUGUGCCCAGGUGCUGGCACGGCACAGGAGCAGCACCAAGCGUCCUUCGCUCUGCGCUUUUUCCAAAGCUGCACACCCUCCAGGGUGCAAAUCAGCUCCGCCCUGGCUUCAGGUUUUCAUCCACUCACAGAAAUGAAAGCUGAAAAAGUUCAUCCAUCAGGAAGCCCAAAAGCCAGUUGUUACAAAAGCACGCGGCAGCUUUCUGGUUUCUGUAUCCGUCCUGUAAACCGAGCAUUCCUUUCCACCUCUUGCGCACUGAGCCGGGUGUCAUCUGCCGUACACAGUGAAUGACAGCUUUGAGUCUCUCCUUCAUUGGCGGGACCGAGCAGUAAGAGCAGGGCCCUGCGUGGUGACAUGCACCCACC
rnacentral:lncRNA from 1 species